rnacentral:rRNA from 1 species
GCUACCAUGCAGUCGAACGGUGAAGAGGAGCUUGCUCCUUGGAUCAGUGGCGAACGGGUGAGUAACACGUGAGCAAUCUGCCCUUGACUCUGGGAUAACUGCGGGAAACUGUAGCUAAUACCGGAUAUUACCGUGGAAGGCAUCUUCUGUGGUGGAAAGAAUUUUGGUCAAGGAUGAGCUCGCGGCCUAUCAGCUAGUUGGUGAGGUAAUGGCUCACCAAGGCGACGACGGGUAGCCGGCCUGAGAGGGUGACCGGCCACACUGGGACUGAGACACGGCCCAGACUCCUACGGGAGGCAGCAGUGGGGAAUAUUGCACAAUGGGCGCAAGCCUGAUGCAGCAACGCCGCGUGAGGGACGACGGCCUUCGGGUUGUAAACCUCUUUUAGUAGGGAAGAAGCGACUGGGUUUUCCUGGGAGUGACGGUACCUGCAGAAAAAGCACCGGCUAACUACGUGCCAGCAGCCGCGGUAAUACGUAGGGUGCAAGCGUUGUCCGGAAUUAUUGGGCGUAAAGAGCUCGUAGGCGGUUUGUCGCGUCUGCUGUGAAAACCCGAGGCUCAACCUCGGGCCUGCAGUGGGUACGGGCAGACUAGAGUGCGGUAGGGGAGAUUGGAAUUCCUGGUGUAGCGGUGGAAUGCGCAGAUAUCAGGAGGAACACCAAUGGCGAAGGCAGAUCUCUGGGCCGUAACUGACGCUGAGGAGCGAAAGCAUGGGGAGCGAACAGGAUUAGAUACCCUGGUAGUCCAUGCCGUAAACGUUGGGAACUAGAUGUGGGGACCAUUCCACGGUCUCCGUGUCGCAGCUAACGCAUUAAGUUCCCCGCCUGGGGAGUACGGCCGCAGGCUAAUACAGA